CCAAUAGCGUAUAUUAAAGUUGUUGCAGUUAAAAAGCUCGUAGUUGAAUUUCGGGGUUCAUCCGUCGGUCGGGCUUUUGGGUCUGUACUGGCGUGGUGGAUUCCUACCUUCUGAAUAACCAGCAUGCCAUUAAUUUGGUGCGCCGGGGAAGCAGGACUGUUACCUUGAAAAAAUUAGAGUGCUUAAAGCAGGCUUACGCCUGAAUACAUUAGCAUGGAAUAAUGAAAUAGGACGCAUGGUUCUAUUUUGUUGGUUUCUAGGAUCACCGUAAUGAUUAAUAGGGAUAGUUGGGGGCAUUAGUAUUCAAUUGUCAGAGGUGAAAUUCUUGGAUUUAUUGAAGACUAACUUCUGCGAAAGCAUUUGCCAAGGAUGUUUUCAUUAAUCAAGAACGAAAGUUAGGGGAUCGAAGACGAUCAGAUACCGUCGUAGUCUUAACCAUAAACUAUGCCGACUAGGGAUCGGACGAUGUUAAUUUUUUAAUGACUCGUUCGGCGCCUUACG
rnacentral:rRNA from 1 species